rnacentral:rRNA from 1 species
UACGGGAGGCAGCAGUGGGGAAUCUUGGGCAAUGGGGGAAACCCUGACCCAGCAACGCCGCGUGAGGGAAGAAGGUUUUCGGAUCGUAAACCUCUGUCCUUGGUGAAGAGGAAGAGACGGUAGCCAAGGAGGAAGCCCCGGCUAACUACGUGCCAGCAGCCGCGGUAAU